UCAAAGUCCAGUGAAACUUUCUUACAGCUACAAAUGAAAAUUAAUCAGGUCUGCAGGAUCUACUUGGAACUCCAAACUACUGAAAAAAAUCAGAGAUUUGCUGUGAAAGAAAGAAAAGGAGCCAACUACGUCAGGAGUUUCAAAUCAAGGAAAACAAACAGCAAGAACUGCAUCCACUUAGUUUUGCUCUCCACUGUGAAAGACAAUUACUGAGAUAGAAUCCAACCAACAUGAGUUUAAGCAAAAUCUGAAGAGAUAUGUUGAAACAGAAGUAUUUCCUCAGGGAUGGGAGCAUCAUUCAUGGGAGGAAAAGCCACAGGCACACAAGGCAGCAGAGCCAAACCAACUACCAAUAAAAUCUUUAUCCACUCC